UAUAUAUAUAUAUAUAUAUAUAUAUAUAUAUAUAUAUAAUUAAUAUUAUUGUUGUUUAUUCAUAUUGUUAUUUUGAAGCUAAUGAUUGUAGACUUGGCUGUGCUGAGGAGUGUCUAUAUUUAAGAAGAAGAGAGGUUCUAUUUUAAAGAAGUGGUACCCACCUCUCACUGAGCAUCACUACCUGAAUGAACUGUGACCCUCCUCCGACGUGUUGGGAGAGGGCGGGGUCACCCAAUGGAAACUGCACGGGAUGAAUUCGACGAUGCGUGUUAUUAAAUUCACCUUAAUAUCGGACUUGCAGCCAAAGGACAUGUUUUGGCUACUUUAGCAGGGUAGAAUGGACUAGAGUGUUUUUGUGAAAAAAAAUUAUAGCACAGAAGUUCCCCCAAAGUGGGUCUUCAUAGACUCGGACUGGAAAAAAAUUCCCACUUCCAUGCUGGGACUCUCCUUAAUCACCCCCACUGUGCCAAAUAUAAUUUCAUUCAAACCUACUUGUUGGGCCUCCAAGAGGUUUUUCUCCUUCUUCUUCUUUUGUUUUAAGCCUAUAAGGGAAAACCCGAUCUUCCGUUAAGCUAUCAAACACCACCCAGUCCCACAACGCGCCUGAGCUGCCGCUCCAUCCUGCCCGCAAAGCAAUAACAAGUGACACCCCACCCAGAAAUUCCCAAGCCGCAGCUGCACGAGCCAGAUGUGGAAAACACCACUUCAGUUUGAAGUCGGUAUUGGUUGCGAGAUCUUAAGUUGGCUCAGACUUUCCGAGCACUUCCCUCAGCCUGCAGCACCUGUAGGGGAUGCCGUCAUAGAGCAAUACUGAAGCCCGUUUCUGUUCACAGCAGCACAGCUUUUUAGAUUAGACAGAAAAGACUGAAGUCUGUAAUCAACGAUGUCAGAUCAGUAGGUUUUGUCAUUCAACACACUGACCAGUAGGUCGGAAUCCCACUUCAGGCACUCGUACAUAUGUGUGUGCGUGCGUGCGUGCGUGCGUGUGUUGCUCUGCUACACACAGUUCUGGAAAAUGCAUGUUGAGCCUGAUUCUUAUCUUGCCACAGAAAGGCGGCGUCUUGCUUAUUCCUGUCAUGCCAUCUUUAGAUCACAUGGAGUUGUGGGAAAACUGUUCUUUUUUUCUUCAUCUUCAUUCUUCUUCUUCUCCUUUUUCAAGGCCAUCUCCUGUACUUCCCUGUAAGGAGAGUAUUAUUUUUUUUCCCUUUUUGGUCAUGUAUUUAUUUUUUUCUUUCCCAUGUCUGAGUUUUUUGUUUGUUUAUUGCAGACCGUUUUUGAUUUUGACGUGUUUAUUGGCACUUCAUAAUUGCAGUGCAUGUACAUGCACACAUGUGCCCACUGUAUCAGGCUUUAUGAGCCCUUUGUAAGCCGCCAUAUAUCACUUUUAUGCGUCCGCUAGCCUCCCGGUGUCCCGCAGGAUGGUGGACGGAGCAGAGUUUGGUCAUGUGAUCUGGUCCAGGAACGAUGAAGACGUUACUUUACGAUGCACAAGUAACAGACUUUAAAUGUUUGAUUGAUGAACUGAAAGUGAGGCAGGAUCUCCGGCACACCGACCCGUCGCUGAGGCGUUGCCCUGAAACAAGACUCGCUGCGUCGCCGCCUCAGCCGAAAAUGUGCAUUUCAGCAUCAGCCCCUUCUGAAGAAUCAUGUUCAUCCCAAGUAUCCUAUCCCACUUUGAGUUUUAAGAUUUUAGAGCUGGAGUAAGAGACUUUGUUUUCAUCUUUCCUGCCUACGAGGUUUUCAAUCAGAUUUGUCUGUGUGACUUCUGACGGCUUUGCUGACUCUGGUUUGUAAAACAGGAAAUGAUAUCAAUGAAAUAAACCAAAUACCACACUGA